UGCCCAGUGACUCUGUUCAACGGCCGCGGUAUCCUAACCGUGCGAAGGUAGCGUAAUCACUUGUUCUUUAAAUGAGGACUAGUAUGAACGGCACCACGAGGGUUAUACUGUCUCCUCCCUCUAAUCAGUGAAACUAAUCUUCCCGUGAAGAAGCGGGGAUAAAAUUAUAAGACGAGAAGACCCUAUGGAGCUUUAAACACAGUAACAAUUGCCCUGACCCCCCCCCCCCCACCCGUGGGGCACAAUUAUUUAUCCAGGCACCUUGAUUACAAGUUUUAGGUUGGGGUGAUCGCGGAGCAAAAAAUAACCUCCACAGUGAAAGGGGACUUCCCCUAAACUCCGGGCCACAGCCCCAAGAAUCAACAAUUGACACCCGUUGACCC
rnacentral:rRNA from 1 species